UACGGAGGGUGCGAGCGUUGUCCGGAAUCACUGGGCGUAAAGGGCGCGUAGGUGGCUACUUAAGCGUGUGGUGAAAGUCCGGGGCUCAACCCCGGAUCGGCCGUGCGAACUGAGUGGCUCGAGCACUGUAGAGGCAGGUGGAAUUCCGGGUGUAGCGGUGGAAUGCGUAGAGAUCCGGAAGAACACCGGUGGCGAAGGCGGCCUGCUGGGCAGUAGCCGAAAGGCUUUCAAGCUGACACUGAGGCGCGACAGCGUGGGGAGCAAACAGG
rnacentral:rRNA from 1 species